UACGUAGGGUGCAAGCGUUAAUCGGAAUUACUGGGCGUAAAGCGUGCGCAGGCGGUUAUGUAAGACAGGUGUGAAAUCCCCGGGCUUAACCUGGGAACUGCAUUUGUGACUGCAUAGCUAGAGUACGGUAGAGGGGGAUGGAAUUCCGCGUGUAGCAGUGAAAUGCGUAGAUAUGUGGAGGAACACCGAUGGCGAAGGCAGCCCCCUGGGUUAACACUGACGCUCAUGCACGAAAGCGUGGGGAGCAAACAGG
rnacentral:rRNA from 1 species